GGAAAUAGAAAUUGAAUCUCACCGACUCAGUUUGCCAUACCCAGAUUUCUCUUCUUUCCCUUCCCCGAGAAGACAGAAACUUCCCUUGACUGUGAAGGGGAAGGUCACUUAGAUCCCUUUUGAUGGGGAACCCCUCCGCAGUAGAGGAUUAGGCAGAGGAGAAUGGCCGCAUGACCUCUCAGAAGGUCUAAAUUCAGCCCAGCAAAAAUUCUGAUUAACUCCCAUUGAAGGCGAUACAUUUGUAUCUUUACCCCUUUAAAUGAAGUUGACAUUGUGGGAUUUUUGAUCAUCAGAAUGCAGCAGAAGUAACAUUAUGAUAUUUCUAAGUCUUUGCCUCAGAAGACCUCACAGCUUCUGCUUUUAUUGGAACCUGAGACUACAAUGAAAAACCAUGUAGAGAGAGAUCCAGCUGUCCCACGUCUUCUAGCCAUUCCAGCUGGGGCUCAUCCAUGAACAUGGAUGAAUCUGGAGAACAUCAUUCUCAGCAAACUGACACAAGAACAGAAAAUGAAAUCCUGCAUAUUCUCACUCAUAGGCGGGUGAUGAAAAAUGAGAACACAUGGACACAGCUAAUAUAUUCACCCAGUAGCAUCCGGGCAUGGAAUUGUUGUUUGGGAAAACAACUGGGACUGUUUUCCUACUCUGAGAAGAUGUUUUGGAGCAGCUUCGAACAGAAGUUAUACGAGGCAGCUAUCCAGCAUCCAUACCAUUAAAGUAGACUUCCCCUCGUAACAUUAAGGUCAGUUUCCCUGCAAAAGCCCCUCCCUUCAAUGUGAGGGGAUGGAGGACAAGACUCCAUCAUCUGGUAUCUCUAACUGUAAGAGCUAGCAAGGUACCUGAUCUCUGGGAGCUAUGGAAAGAAUACAUGCUGAGUGAAUGUGUUACUGAAUAACCUCCCAAACUUGCUGCAGACUCCUGCUCUUGUGGAAAGAUAAAAAAAAAAAAAAACCCCUCAUCAUCUUUUAUAUAUGUUGGUGAAGGGGUGUGCCUCUGGGUGUGAGUUUAAAAAUAUAACUAACUGAAUCUCCAAGGUGUAUUCAUGAGGAAUCUGAGAUUAAAUGAAGCCCCAGUUUUCCAUACUUUAAAAAAACCAACUGCUUUAAAUUUUUAGCUGAGAAAGCGAUACUAUUUACAGAGAUUGUGCUUCUACUAACAGCCUUGCAUUUGUUGUUAAAAUAGGACCCUCUAUCAUUUUCCCUUAGUUAAUAGCUGUCAUGUAUAAAAUUACCACAAAUAAAAGAAGGAGGUGGAAUAUAAAUGUUCAGAGGCAACACAGCAUGGUAGGCAGAGGUGAGAAAGGAGGUUGCAAACAUUUGUGUGGUUCCCCAGAGGGCGAGGAAUGUACAGCAAGUCACAUCAGGAGCCUAGCGGCUGCACUGUCCAUAAACAUUUGUAUAUACAUGUGUGUAUAUUAUUUUUUCUUAGAGGUAUAAUACUUUAGAAUCCUUCCGAUUAUGUACAGGCUUCUGCUACUCAUAACUUAAAAUACCAUGCAUCUUUUUGCUGCAUGUAGCUAUGGCUGGGCAAUUACUGCAAAACCUUCCUCAGCUUCCAGCCUCUUCUAUCAUAAAGAAAUCUGAUUUCAAUAAGGAAGAAAGGACAAGCUAGACUGGGAGUUUCCCAGGUGAGGAAGCAAAUUAGUGGGAAAGGAAAAGGAUAUCUUCUGGCUCCAGAAAUGGAAUCAUUCCCCUCCAAAAGUGCAAUCAGACAGCUAUCAGUAUGGACAGUGGGAGCUAAUAAAAAAUUUUAAUCAGAAAAGAUGCAUAACUGUACUUGCUUUCGGUGAAGGUCCAGAGAACUACGAUGUUGGGGAUACAUUAGAGAUGCUGGGCAUAUUUUCCUCUGACACAAAAGUGAUAGGAAAGAGUUGAGGAGAAUAUAUUGAGGGGCUAUUUAGACAAUACCUAGGGAGGGAUUAGAGAGAGAUUUGAAGAAAGGUGUCUAGAUUACUCUCAGAUUUGAGCAGCCCGUCGUAUCAUGGAGUCAGUACUUACCAUAUUUGUCUACUAGUCUAAUGAGCCUUCUAUCACAUUAUAUAAUGCCUAUUCUGACAUCUCAUUUACGAAUCUCAGAUGAAUCACUCAGUCCUUUUGUACUUCUUCAUCAUCAGGUAAGAAAGGUCAGCACUCUUAAAUUACUCUCCCUACUUCCUACCCCAAUUCCAUUUCCCAAACUAAAGUAAGGUGGGAAUCCUUAAUCAACAUUAUGCAAUCAAUAGAAUUAGGUAAUCUCAUAACUGUGAGUGCUCCAUCUCAGCAAAUCUAGGAAUGAGGAGGCAUGGAUCUCUAGGU
rnacentral:lncRNA from 1 species